AUUGAACGCUGGCGGCAGGCCUAACACAUGCAAGUCGAGCGGAGCGGCGGACGGGUGAGUAAGGCCUAGGAAUCUGCCUGGUCGUGGGGGAGAACGUCCGGAAACGGGCACUAAUACAGCAUACUAUCAGAUGAGGCUAGGUCGGAAUAGCUUGUUGGUGGGGUAAAGGCCUACCAAGGCAACGAUCCAUAGCUGGUCUGAGAGGAUGAUCAGUCACACUGGAACUGAGACACGGUCCAGACUCCUACGGGAGGCAGCAGUGGGGAAUAUUGGACAAUGGGCGAAAGCCUGAUCCAGCCAUGCAGCGUGUGUGAAGAAGGUCUGCGGAUUGUAAAGCACUUUAAGUUGGGAGGCGUUACCAAAAGAAUAAGAACCGGCUAACUCCGUGCCAGCAGCCGCGGUAAUAC
rnacentral:rRNA from 1 species